rnacentral:rRNA from 1 species
UACGUAGGUGGCAAGCGUUGUCCGGAAUUACUGGGUGUAAAGGGAGCGCAGGCGGGGAAGCAAGUCAGACGUGAAAACUAUGGGCUCAACCCAUAACGUGCGUUUGAAACUGUUUUUCUUGAGUGAAGUAGAGGUAGGCGGAAUUCCGAGUGUAGCGGUGAAAUGCGUAGAUAUUCGGAGGAACACCAGUGGCGAAGGCGGCCUACUGGGCUUUUACUGACGCUGAGGCUCGAAAGUGUGGGGAGCAAACAGG